rnacentral:lncRNA from 10 species
CAAAAGGUAAGGAUGUGACUCACCCAUUCAGUAAAACUUGUUGAUGCCACAGUGAAAUUUCCCGCCUAGUGCACUAGCUAGAAAUGCAAAAGGCACUCACCGUGGAGUGUAAUAAGUGGGGGUUAAACACAUGCUAUGGAGGAGAACAGAAGGGGAACCCACACUGGUGACACCAGGCAUGGCUUCCUGAAGAAAGUGGCCUCUAAGCUGAUACUUGUAGGAUGUGGAGGAGCUAGCCAGGAGAGUGGGCAAUGGAGUUGAAAGAAACUUCUUGUCAGAGGGGAAAAGCAUGUGCAAAGGUCCUGAGGUGAGAGAGAGCAUGUCCACUCAGGGAAGUGAAGGAAGUCCAGUCUGGUGAGAGUGUUAAGUCUGAGAGAAAGACUAGAUAGAACGAGGCUCGGAGGUCUCCUAAUUUUCAUCCCCUGAACUUUAUGCAGUUGUAAUUUUAAGGUCAUUUGUGACAUUAUUCAGUGUUUCCCUCACUGAAUUGUGAGCUCAUAAGGGCAGUAGUUGUGUCUGUCUUGGUCAAAGCUGAAUCCCCAGGACCUAGCAUGGUGCUUAGCAGCUAUAAAUAGUGUUGAAUGAAUGAACGAGUAAGGUUAGAGAGGCAGGCAUGAGCCAGAUCCUGAAUUGAUUUGAAUGCCAUGGACAACAUCCAGAGGUGUCCAGAAAGAAGGUGGCCUUGACCAGAAUUCCUCAGCCUUGGCUGCACAUGAG